rnacentral:lncRNA from 1 species
UUUUAAUCCCAAAUGAGAAAUUGGCACUCCUGAACAGUGGUUUGGGACAUCCAGAGCAGUAAACAGAGAUAUAAGAGAUGAAUCUGAUCAUUUGCAGAUUAUCACCCUUGAUUAAAACAAACACACGUCAGGGGGGAGGGGACAAAAAUUUCACCAACUGGAGGGCUUUAUUUCUCCUAGAUAGCACUUUGGAGACUUCUGCAAGAUCAGAAAUGGGCCAAAUGACAAUGUCAUUCAGGAGGUCAAGAUGCUGCUGUUCAGAGUGUCUACAAGAUCACCUAUGACAUUUCAGACUUAAAACCAUACCUCUACCUGGAUUAGGACCCUCUUCCACUACUCCAUUUUCUGGAGUUUUCUUCCUGUGAUGCCCCAUAAUGCCCAGAUGGCUAUUCUGGGAAAAGGUAAUUUCCCUGGAAUGGGAAGAAACAAGCCCCUAGAUCCUC